AGUUCUUCCUGCCCUCCUAUGAGAGAUCCCGCUUGGGGCAGUGACCUCAGACCUACUGGCACAUGAAUUCAACUCUGCUCUUUAGUCUUUAACAAACAUUUAUUGUAUACCUUGGGGCUUCCCUGAUGGCUCAAAUGGUAAAGAAUCUUCCUACAAUGCAGGAGACCUGGGCUCUAUCCCUGGGUGGGGAAGAUCCCCUGGAGAAAGUGAAUGGCUACCCACUCCAGUAUUCUUGCCUGGAGAAUUCCACGGACAGAGGAGCCUACUGUGUGGCAGGUCCGGUGUGACUGAGUUGAUGCUGGCAUAGCUCCUGCCCUCAAGGAACUCACUGACUGGCAGGGGUGGUGUGACUGGCACUGAAGGAGUCACGGGAUAUAAGUUAGUGCAGGGAUGCAGGCGCCUGCCUCAUCCAGCCUGGGGACAGGGGAAGCUUCUGGAGGAGAUGCCAGAGCUGGAUCUUGACGACGAGGAGAGGAGAGCCUGAAGGGGCAUGAAACGGUAAUGAGGUGGAGGGAACAGCAAGAGCAAAGGCAGGGAGGAGUGAGGAUUGGAAGAGGCCGCUGCCCUGGGCACUGGCCCCGCCCCAUGGCGGGACCACCCACAGACUCAUCUGUUGAUGGGGAAGGGGCGCUGGACCGGAAGUGAGGUCCACCUGACUGGCUGGCCUCCCUGGGUGAGGCAGGGUAGUGAUUCUAACCCCAGGGGCUCUGGACACCUCACCAUGUGUAGAGAACCGAGAAAACAAGUAGGCAGAGUUAUAAAACCAUGAUAUUAUCUAUUAUCUAAUCAGAUACACCUGGCUUUACUAAAGACACUAAUGGCCAGGGAGGCCCAGGGUCAGUUCCCCGGAGGAGCACAGACAGGCUGCCAGCGCACAGGUCUCCUGGGCACCAACUCACAGUGGCCUAAACCAAACAGUGAAUGAAGCAUUUGCUCCGGGGAGAUGGCCUGCAGCGUUCCUCCACCCUCAAGACCUGAGCGGCUCCUCAAGAAAUGCUUUCCCUGGGCUCUCAUUGGCUAGGAGCAACAGGAAGCGGACGGGGGAAAGCGGCGUCCUCCCCAGCGGCCCCAUCCCAGGAGCCGCGGCUCCUGCAAUCCUCAGCGCUCCCCGGCCGGGGCUGGGCCGACCGGCCGGCGGCACCCUCCGGAUCCGACGCGGCCCUCCGGAUCCCAGCGGGCCAAGAGGAGGUGCAUCCAGACCCAUGACACACGCCCGCGGCCAGGUGGCUGACCCCGGGGGAAGCCGCGAGCGGCGGCGCGCUCCCCUCGGGCGUCCGCGGACCCGCCCCUCGUGCUCCCACUCUCCGCUGGAUUUCUCCUCUCCCUUAAGCUGCCUGUCUGCCUUCUCCGGCUGCAUGCCGUCUCUGUGUCCGAGUCCGGGUCUCUCAAACUCUCCGCCUCUCGGGGAGCUGGACUCGAGCCGCCCGAGAAGCCUCAUUUAUCCUCCCAUCCCCCUGCCAAAUCCUGUCGGCGCUCCGCCC
ensembl:lncRNA